GACGUAGGGAGCGAGCGUUGUCCGGAUUCAUUGGGCGUAAAGAGCGCGCAGGCGGUUUGGUAAGUCGGAUGUGAAAGCCCGGGGCUCAACCCCGGACCUGCAUCCGAUACUGCCCGACUAGAGGUAGGUAGGGGAGAUCGGAAUUCCUGGUGUAGCGGUGAAAUGCGCAGAUACCAGGAGGAACACCGGUGGCGAAGGCGGAUCUCUGGGCCUUACCUGACGCUCAGGCGCGAAAGCUAGGGGAGCGAACAGG
rnacentral:rRNA from 1 species